AGGAUCAAUAUUUGUUUUGCUAUCAAGCUUGUGUGGAAAUCUUGAAAUCUCUGCAGACAUAAAUAAGGUCACAUCAAUUUAAUAUCUUGUAUAAAGUCAAUUUUCAAUUAAUAUAUAAAACAUAAUAUAUAAUUUUGUAGAAAAAUAUAUCGUAUUACGCUAUAUAAUACGAUAUUAUGUACAUUAAAUAUUUCGUAUACAAACACGAGAAAAUUUAAAUGACAAAAUAGACAUGAUUAGUGAGAUAUAAUACGCUUAAUUUAUUGCACAAAAUAUGAUUUCUAAGAUUAAUUUAAUAAUUAUAAUAUAUAUACAUAUAUAUAAAUUAGCGAUAUAUACAUUUAUUACAUUAUGAAUAAAAUAUUUUUACAUAUUUUUAAUCGAAGACUUUUCCUCGUUUGGCAUUAUUUUAAAAAAAUAACUAACUUCUAGAUCUUAUGACGAGAAUACAAAGUACAAACACCCUCGGCCUUCGCGCUUCGGUGAUAAACACAAUACCUCGGC